GAGAAUGAAAGAUACCUGGACAUUUAUGAUAUCAACAAAGGUCUUGAUCUGCAUGAGGGUGACAUACUGCUGAAGUCUGAAAAUUUAAGGAACGUCAUUC